GGUGAGUAACACGUGGAUAACCUACCUAUAAGACUGGGAUAACUUCGGGAAACCGGAGCUAAUACCGGAUAAUAUUUUGAACCGCAUGGUUCAAAAGUGAAAGACGGUCUUGCUGUCACUUAUAGAUGGAUUCGCGCUGCAUUAGCUAGUUGGUAAGGUAACGGCUUACCAAGGCAACGAUGCAUAGCCGACCUGAGAGGGUGAUCGGCCACACUGGAACUGAGACACGGUCCAG
rnacentral:rRNA from 1 species